rnacentral:lncRNA from 1 species
GUGGGGUGGGGGGGAAGAGAAGAGGAGAAAGUCUCCCCCUCCCCUCCCCUUCCCCCCAGGCGGGGGAGAGUUGCCUCUGGCCAACCAGCUAGUCCCGGGUGUGGGAGGAGGGGGGCGCGGGGGAUGGGGGGCCGGCAGGAGAAGGGAGCCUUUUCGAGCCUCGUACAGGAGCCCAUGGACCUAGACCAGAGACCACGGACCCUGAAAAUACCCACUGAAUCUACACCGAGAUUGAAUGCACAACACAGUUUGCAACUUGUAAGGCUUGUAUUUUAUACAGUAGUUGAAACCGAUAAAUUCGUUGUAAAUCAUUUGGGAAGGUUAAAAAAUUUAAUUAAAAAUAAAAUGAAAGGCAGGAAGAUUGACAUUUGUAGUGCCUAACGCCCCUGAAUUUUAUUUCCAUCUUUAAGAAAAGAAAACCAAAAGCCAAACCGACUCUGGCAGCGCGGGGAGACUUCCCAGCCGUUUUCUUGGGCAGCUAGGACAGCACCUGGGCCGUGCCAGAAAUGCCAGUUGCUAUGGUCCUGAUGGAUGGAAAGGAAGUGCAGGUUGGGUCUGCGCAGCAUGUCUAAAGCCUGAAAUACCGAAGCCACCCUUACCUUACUUCCCCAAAGUGACAACGCGCGGGAAUUCAGUCACAGCAGAGAACGAGUUGCAUCCAGUAACUCCCUUAGCUACCGGCCCCCCAGAAGUCUCGUAAAGUCUCAAAAGGCGAUGCGAUUAGCAAGACCGCGGCAAGGGGGGCACUUGUUACUCCUACACUUGCUCUCUGUUUAAAAAAAGGCUCUGAAGUAGGAAAGGUAGAUGCCGACCCUUUCUCCCGUCCUUAAACUACUCACCUUGUCAGCCCAGUAACUGAGAUAAACACAACAAAACAACCCCCCCACAACAACAAACACAACACCCAGAUUCAGGCAUUUACUCUCUGUAUGCCCACCUACUUGGGUUUUCCUUCAUCCUUAAGAAACUCAGAUGAAAACAGAGCUUUGUUUUAAAAAAUACUUUUAUUUGUUUAUUUCAGAUUGCUUCUGAGGAGGAAAAUCCUUCUCCCAACGGAGGCCGAGGCCCCUUCUAGGAAGGCGGUUUAUUUGCUAUUACUUGACCAUUACCCGGGCUUAGGGCUUCUUUAUUGCAUUUGGCACUUGGAGCACAGUCUUCUUGCAGUAUUUUGAUGUGUUUUGCAAAAAAAAAAAAAAAAAAAAAAAAAAAAAAAAAUCUGUGUUUAGGGGAAGGUUAAUUACGCUUUUCAUUCUUCCCUCAUCUCCAGCACUGUGGAAGGGAACGGUUCAUUAGCUGUAGAGGCAGAAAGGCUAAAAAGCAAGGCUUCUUUUUUUAUUUGUAGGGACUGCAGAGUUGCAGGUCUUGGCUAUAGAGUGCAUGUGAGUGUGUGUGUGAAUGUGAGUGAGUGUGACUUUUGCCGGCUAGCCCAGCUCCCAGGCUUUCUGAGCCAAGGCCUCCCCUGGGCCCUGGGGCCGGCUUCCUGCAGGGACAGACAUUCAACAUGUAGGACUAGAAAUUAACAUGUCAUUCCACGAAUUUUGGUUUCUUUCUUUCUUUCUCUUUCUUUUUUUUUUUUUUUUUUUGGAGUUGAAGGUGAGGAGUCGUAAGCAAUUUCUCUUUAAGCAUGUUACUGUUUGGGAGUUUAUUUUAUUUUUGUAAGUUGGGGCCAGGUUAUCCGAGGCUGCAGUUGUGACCUGGGGCAGGAAGGGGGGACGCCCUCCUCCCCGGGCUAGAAGGACAAGAGAGCGGAGUUGCCCCCGGCACGCCCGGCUCGGCCCCCUCUCUCCCGGCACCCCCCUGCGCGUUGCCUCCGCUGGAAGCGGGCGGUGAGAUGGAGAACCUUGACUUGUCAUCUCCUGGUCACCGGCUUUUUCCCUGUUCCCAAGGCACCCAGAGCCCUGUUCCCAAGAGCUGAGCCCUCCCACGCUUCAUCUCAAAACCGUCUGGUGCUGAGGAAGUGGCCCAAGAUGGACGUGGGGGUGGGACUGGGGAAGCCCCAGUGAGGUGGGAGGCAGUUUCUCACUCAGGGGGCCCCCUACACCUCGCUCCUCAGGCUGCUCAGCUCAGGGCUCCAAGGUUUGGCCAGAACUCUUCUUUCCCUCUCUAGUCUCAGAGGGGCUGCGUGCCUGGCGCGCUGCUUCCCUCGGAGCUGGGUUUACAUUGACAGUGUAAACUCACACCCACACAUGCGUGUGCACACCCACACACGUCUUGGCUUCAGGAAGACAAGGAGCACUCUUGCGCGGAGGGCAGGCACACACUCACUCAUUCACUCUCCCUGUUGGGACAGGCUCCUUCCUAGCCUCAUAGGGCAAGGGAGAGUGAGUUUGGGGAAGAGAUGGGGUGGGAGGGAAAAGUUACACUCUGAUGAUGCCAGGUACAUUUUUUUGGAGUGACGGUUAACCCUUCUUCCGCUGGAAGCCGCUGUCUAGGCAUUUUCUAAAACGGUCUGUGGGGUCUGCUUUUCUUUUCUCCUGGACGGCGCAGGAUAAAUCAUUAGUUCCCUCCCGACUUCCCCACUCCACUAGCCACGGUCUUCUUUCUAAAAUUAGAUUUCCCCCUUCCCACUCUUCUGGCCUUCAGAGUUUACCAGGGAAUUUUCAAGGAAAUUGGCUGUAUAGUGAGAACAAGUGUAAGGAAGAGGAUAAAGAGGAGACAGACAAAUCGAUCAGAAAACCAGAGAGGGAGACAGGAAGGGAGAAAUAGUGUAGUUCUUCCAGAUCCUUAGUUUGCACACAGAUUGGUAUUAUCCUCCCCAGCCCCUCCAGGAAAUGAAAAAAGUAUAAUCCUUGUUAAUUACCUUUGCUUACUACAAGCCAUACAAGAAACUUCAGAGAUGUCUCUACAUAGGGAAGAAACUGUUUACAAGACUCUUUCAAAAGUGUGACAUAUUGCUCUAGUUCAGCACUAAAAAGCUAAACACACUUAGCCUCCUUUGAAGUGCCCUGGCUGGGGCAGCUUAUUUGAGUGUGGUUCAGAUAUUGCUGUGGGUAUAACUAAUGGCUUCUACCUAUUUAGCUCAAGUGGGAGGAGAGAAAGUCCUGAAUUCCUUGUCCAAUGGGUCCCUCUGGAGACUGGGUUCUGGCUUCUUGCCAAUUCUGUACAAUGUCAACAUUGAAUAUUUGAAUUCCCAGACUCUAUUUAACAAGUUUCUAAAUAAAUAAACUCAUUGUG